rnacentral:rRNA from 1 species
GACGAACGCUGGCGGCGUGCUUAACACAUGCAAGUCGAACGGAAAGGCCCUGCUUUUGUGGGGUGCUCGAGUGGCGAACGGGUGAGUAACACGUGAGUAACCUGCCCUUGACUUUGGGAUAACUUCAGGAAACUGGGGCUAAUACCGGAUAGGAGCUCCUGCUGCAUGGUGGGGGUUGGAAAGUUUCGGCGGUUGGGGAUGGACUCGCGGCUUAUCAGCUUGUUGGUGGGGUAGUGGCUUACCAAGGCUUUGACGGGUAGCCGGCCUGAGAGGGUGACCGGCCACAUGGGGGCGGGGAUACGGCCCAGACUCCUCCGGGGGGCAGGGGUGGGGAAUAUGGCACAAUGGGGGGAGGCCUUAUGCAGCAACGCCGGGUGGGGGAUGCCGGCCUUGGGGUUGUAAACCGCUUUCGCCUGUGACGAAGCGGGAGUGACGGUAAUGGGUAAAGAAGCCCCGGCAAACUACGU